CUAGAUCUGCCCUAGCUCUGAUCUGGCGGUCCAAGUAUUAUAUUUCUUUGUCAGUUUUUUUUUUUUUUUUUUUUUUUUUUUUCAGCAGGUGAAUUUUGAAAAUCUCUUUUACUGGUAACUGGGAAUACAUAAGGAGGACAUUAAAUUAUACACGGUGUUGCACCUCUUUCUAAAAACAUGUUCAAACUCGCUGUAUGAGCGCAUUAAGAAGUCCAGGUCUAGUGGGGUGAAAAAUGCAGCCCUCCUCUUCCCUGUUGUUCCCAUGGUGACUCGUUGAAUCGGGGCUCCAUUGAUGCUGUCUUUUUGUAGCUGUGGUGCACAUGCUUCACUCCAGGUGAAACUACUCUGAGUUGAUCAAACUAACUCAAAUCGACUGCUCUGGAACUGAAAACUCAGAGUUUCCUUUCUCAGAGUAGAUCAACUCAGUUCAGGGUUACACUCAGAGUUUGUUGAACCUGCUUUGU